rnacentral:ncRNA from 1 species
AGAUAGAUGUAUAGGAGAGAAGGUUAGCACUCCCCCUGAUAAGGAUGGAAGAGGUCCUAGUGGCCUUUCCAACACAUAUAUGAUUAAGGCAUUGCCACCUACUCUGUGGCAUCUAACCAUAUAUAGAU